GACGAACGCUGGCGGCGUGCUUAACACAUGCAAGUCGAACGGAAAGGCCCUGCUUUUGUGGGGUGCUCGAGUGGCGAACGGGUGAGUAACACGUGAGUAACCUGCCCUUGACUUUGGGAUUACUUCAGGAAACUGGGGCUAAUACCGGAUAGGAGCUCCUGCUGCAUGGUGGGGGUUGGAAAGUUUCGGCGGUUGGGGAUGGACUCGCGGCUUAUCAGCUUGUUGGUGGGGUAGUGGCUUACCAAGGCUUUGACGGGUAGCCGGCCUGAGAGGGUGACCGGCCACAUUGGGACUGAGAUACGGCCCAGACUCCUACGGGAGGCAGCAGUGGGGAAUAUUGCACAAUGGGCGGAAGCCUGAUGCAGCAACGCCGCGUGCGGGAUGACGGCCUUCGGGUUGUAAACCGCUUUCGCCUGUGACGAAGCGUGAGUGACGGUAAUGGGUAAAGAAGCACCGGCUAACUACGUG
rnacentral:rRNA from 1 species